CUCUGACUGUAAUAAAGUAGCAUAAUUAGUUGUCAUUUAAUUGAUGGAGAGAAUGAAUGGUUACACGAAUUUUUCACUGUCUUAAAAAAAAUUUUUUAAAAUUGAAAUAAUAGUUAAGAUGCUAUUUAAAAUUGUAAGACGAAGAGACCCUAUAGAGCUUUACUAUAAACUUUUUUCUUAAAAAUAAUAAAAAAUUAUUAAAACUAGAAAGUUUGGUAGUUUAGUUGGGGCGACUGUUUUUUAAAAAUAACAAAAAUAAGCAAUAUAAUAAAUUUAUUUAUUGUAUAAUUAAACAAUUUAACAAUUACUAUAGUAGGCUAUAAUGACCCGUUAUUAUAAUAAAUAAUAAAUAACGAUUAAUUGAUAAAAGCUACCUG
rnacentral:rRNA from 1 species